rnacentral:tRNA from 1 species
GCGGUUAUAGCUCAAUGGCAGAGCACUUCACUGUGGAUGAAGACGUUGUGGGUUCGAGUCCCACUAACCGCCCA